AUAUAUUUUUUAAAAAAAAUUUAAUAAAUUCAAAAACGCAAAAGGGAAAAAAAGAAAAAAAAUAAAAUAAUAAAAAUAAAUUCAGAAUAAUUAGGAAAACAUAUUUUUUCUAACGUCUCUUACAAAAAAAUGAAAUGUUUCAUUCCUUUUCUUGUUUUAUAAAAUUAUUUAUAAUUUAUAAUAUAAAUUUUUUUUUGUUACUAUUUUAUUAAAGAAGUUUUAUGAACAAAUUCUUUUCUUAUUAUUAAAUAUAUGAAAAUUUUACAACCAGUUUUAUUUUUAUUUAUUUAUUUUUUUUACCUUUUAUAGGAUAAUAUUUUGUAAUAAA